rnacentral:rRNA from 1 species
GACGAACGCUGGCGGCGUGCCUAAUACAUGCAAGUCGAACGGUUUAGUUCCAAGAGGCAAGACUCUUGGAACUAAGCAGUGGCGGACGGGUGAGUAACACGUAGGCAACCUACCUGUCAAACCGGGAUAACCUCGGGAAACCGAAGCUAAACCCGGAUAAGCUCCUUUUUCGCAUGAAGGGGGAGUGAAAAGGUGCGACCUGAUGACGGAUGGGCCUGCGGCGCAUUAGCUAGUAGGUAGGGUAACGGCCUACCUAGGCGAUGAUGCGUAGCCGACCUGAGAGGGCGUACGGCCACACUGGGACUGAGAUACGGCCCAGACUCCUACGGGAGGCAGCAGUAGGGAAUCUUCGGCAAUGGGCGAAAGCCUGACCGAGCAACGCCGCGUGAGUGAGGAAGGCCUUCGGGUUGUAAAACUCUGUUGUUUGGGAAGAAGGGAAAGGGUAGGACCCUUAGGUGACGGUACCAAACGAGAAAGCCCCGGCUAACUACGUG